GUGAAGUGAUGGCCCUGAAUGGGGGUUCCAACAUAGGAAGCCCCUUUUCUCCAGGCCCUCAAAUUGACAAAGGACCACAAAUUUACCAUUUGACAUUAUAUCUCCAUGAGGUUGUCUAAAAAAAUAUUCUGUUGAUGUGAUCUGGUAAAAUACAGGAAGUGCCCAGAUGAAAACUUGAAGAAUGGUGGUGAACUGCUUGGGAGAGAUUCCAGGAGAGAAUUGCAAAUGCCAUUUAAGAAAUGAAAGGAUGCAGCACCCUUGAUGCUCUGUGACCUUGGCCAUGUCACUUAACUUCCCUCCGCUUCAAUGUCUUCAUCUACAAACCAGGAAUAAUAGUAUAUAUCACAAAAUGUAUCUAAGAUACAAAUGAGACACUGUGAAGUCCUUGGCACAGACUUAUAAAAGAAGUAGAACACACAUGCUUCCCAUUAGGUGAGAAAGAAACAUGCCUGAGAGUCUAAUGGAUUACUCAAGUCUGUGCUGCCAAGGAAGAACAGAAUCUUUAGGUCUUCUGUGCAAAGUUGUGUCCACCCCCAAAGUCUGAAGUGGCUCCAUUCACAAACUUACAUGGAAUUUGGACUUGGCCAUCUUUCCUUUCAAGAAUAUAUGAUAAAAUCAUGCUUCCCGUUCAAGAGGUUCACUCUGGGUAUAGACGGCAUUUCUGAAAACAUGGCAUUGACUGACAUUAUUGACAGUGGACUGGGAAUGGAAAGAUCAGAGUUCUUUGCAUGGCUGAGCAUCUUACUUUUCCUUGAUCUUGGGAAGGAAGGCGCCUUCUCUGAUGGAGAUUAUCUGUCAGUGAAACUAGAUUUUUAAGUUGCAGCCCUGGGCUUAUGGUGAAUUGGCAAGCACGUGUGAGAAAGAUCAUGUUGUCUUAAGCAACUUUGAUUCCAAGAGAAGAAGAGUAAUAUGAGUACUCCAGUCCAGUCACCUGAUGAGAGAUUCCUGAAGGGAGAACUUGCAUCUUCAAAGCGUUGGAGGUAGAAGGAAGACAGGCAGAAGGACAUCCCAGAAUCAACCCAGAAUGUGGUGGAAGUGACUGCAUCAACCCUGAGCCGACACACCCAGAAGCCUUGCAGACUUCUACUUCCUGCCUUGGAAUCCUGACAAGCCACUACUUAAGCAAAUGUGAGCUACCCUUUUAGUGGUGGUUACAUGGGAUUAGAUGAGAUACAUGGGGCCCGGAUUCCUGAUUGCCCCACUUGACAGCUGAGAAACACCUGGGAGCAGGGCUGCCCAGCUAACAUCUGCUGACUGCAGAUGAAUGAACAAGCCCAGCCAGAUAGAGAAGAAACAGUCAGCUGGGCCAUAAACAAUGUUUUGUAAUAAUCGUUUAUUUAUAUGGUUUACAUUUUGUUUAACUCUCAUUUUUUAAUGGGAAUAGGACUUUUUUAUUGUGGUAAAAUGUACAUAAUGAAAAUUUACCAUUUUAACUAUUUUAGCUGUACAAUUCAGUGGCAUUCAAUGUUGUGCAAUGCUCACAACUACUUCCAACUUUUUUCAUUAUUCCAAACAGAAACUCUAUGCCAUUAAGCAAUAACUUUUGAUUCUUCCCAUCCCCAGCUCUUGGUAAUCUCGAUUCUACUUUCUGCCUAUAUGAAUUUGCCUAUUUUAGACACCCCACAUAAGUAGAAUCAUACAAUAUUUGUUCUUUUGUAUUUGACUUACUUUACUUGGCAUAUUUUCAAGGUUCAUCAUGUUGUAUUAUGUAUUAGACUUUUAUUUCUACUUAUGGCCGAAUAUCAUCCUGUGGUAGAUAGA
rnacentral:lncRNA from 1 species